AUUGAACGCUGGCGGCAGGCUUAACACAUGCAAGUCGAGCGAGCGGCGGACGGGUUGGUAAUGUCUCGGCAACUGCGUGAUGGAUGGGGAUCACUACUGGACACUGUUGCUACUACCGCAUUCCAUCACAUAGGCCCAGUUGGGAUUAGCUAGGUGGUGGGGUAAUGGCGCACCUAGGCGACGAUCCCUAGCUGGUCUGAGAGGAUGACCAGCCACACGGGAACUGAGACACGGUCCAGACUCCGACGGGAGGCAGCAGUGGGGAAUAUUGCACAAUGGGCGAAAGCCUGAUGCAGCCAUGCCGCGUGUGUGAAGAAGGCCUUCGGGUUGUAAAGCACUUUCAGCGAGGAGGCGUUACUCGCAGAAGAAGCACCGGCUAACUCCGUGCCAGCAGCCGCGGUAAUAC
rnacentral:rRNA from 1 species